UACGUAGGGUGCAAGCGUUACUCGGAAUUACUGGGCGUAAAGCGUGCGCAGGCGGUUUUGUAAGUCAGAUGUGAAAUCCCCGGGCUUAACCUGGGAACUGCGUUUGAAACUACAAGGCUAGAGUGUGACAGAGGGGGGUGGAAUUCCACGUGUAGCAGUGAAAUGCGUAGAGAUGUGGAGGAACACCGAUGGCGAAGGCAGCCCCCUGGGUUAACACUGACGCUCAGGCACGAAAGCGUGGGGAGCAAACAGG
rnacentral:rRNA from 1 species